rnacentral:rRNA from 1 species
AACGAACGCUGGCGGCAUGCCUAACACAUGCAAGUCGAACGAGACCUUCGGGUCUAGUGGCGCACGGGUGUGUAACGCGUGGGAACCUGCCCUUAGGUUCGGAAUAACUCCCCGAAAGGGGUGCUAAUACCGGAUAAUGUCUUCGGACCAAAGAUUUAUCGCCUUUGGAUGGGCCCGCGUUGGAUUAGCUAGUUGGUAGGGUAAAAGCCUACCAAGGCGACGAUCCAUAGCUGGUCUGAGAGGAUGAUCAGCCACACUGGGACUGAGACACGGCCCAGACUCCUACGGGAGGCAGCAGUGGGGAAUAUUGGACAAUGGGCGAAAGCCUGAUCCAGCAAUGCCGCGUGAGUGAUGAAGGCCUUAGGGUUGUAAAGCCCUUUUACCCGGGAUGAUAAUGACAGUACCGGGAGAAUAAGCUCCGGCUAACUCCGUG